rnacentral:rRNA from 1 species
AUUGAACGCUGGCGGCAUGCUUUACACAUGCAAGUCGAACGGUAACAGGCCGCAAGGUGCUGACGAGUGGCGCACGGGUGAGUAAUGCAUCGGAACGUGCCCAGUCGUGGGGGAUAACUACUCGAAAGAGUAGCUAAUACCGCAUACGAUCUAUGGAUGAAAGCGGGGGACCGUAAGGCCUCGCGCGAUUGGAGCGGCCGAUGUCAGAUUAGGUAGUUGGUGGGGUAAAGGCUCACCAAGCCAACGAUCUGUAGCUGGUCUGAGAGGACGACCAGCCACACUGGGACUGAGACACGGCCCAGACUCCUACGGGAGGCAGCAGUGGGGAAUUUUGGACAAUGGGCGCAAGCCUGAUCCAGCAAUGCCGCGUGCAGGAAGGAGGCCUUCGGGUUGUAAACUGCUUUUGUACGGAACGAAACGGCUCUGGUUAAUACCCGGGGCUAAUGACGGUACCGGAAGAAUAAGCACCGGCUAACUACGUG